rnacentral:rRNA from 1 species
GAAAGGGAGCCGGAGCGAAAGCGAGCCUUAACAGGGCGACUUGAGUCCCGCGCCGCGGACGCGAAGCCGGGUGAGCUAUCCGUGGGCAGGCUGAAGCGGGGGUAAGACCCCGUGGAGGGCCGAACGCACGUCGGUUGAAAACGGCGGCGAUGACCUGCGGAUAGGGGUGAAAGGCCAAUCAAACCCGGAGAUAUCUCGUUCUCCCCGAAAUAGCUUUAGGGCUAGCGUCGCGCGUUCACCGCCGGAGGUAGAGCACCGGAUGGACGAGGGGGCUUCGCCGCCUACCGAAUCCAACCGAACUCCGAAUGCCGGCGGCCCAGAGCGCGGCAGUCAGAGCAUGUGGGCUAAGCUGUGUGCUCGAGAGGGAAACAGCCCGGACCGCCCGCUAAGGUCCCCAAGUUCCAGCCGAGUGGCAAAGGAUGUGCGUCCGCCCAGACAACCAGGAUGUUGGCUUAGAAGCAGCCAUCCAUUCAAAGAGUGCGUAACAGCUCACUGGUCGAGUGGACAUGCGCCGACAAUACACGGGGCUAAGCUGGACACCGAAGCGGCGGGAUUUUGAUUUUCAGAAUCGGUAGGGGAGCUUCCCAUGGGCGGAGAAGCCGCCGGGCGACCGGCGGUGGAGCGCAUGGGAGUGAGAAUGCUGGCAUGAGUAGCGAGAGACGAGAGAGUAACUCGUCCGCCGUGAACCCGAGGUUUCCUGGGCAAGGCUAAUCCUCCCAGGGUCAGUCGGGGGCUAAGGCGAGGCCGGGAGGCGUAGCCGACGCGCAGCAGGCAGACAUUCCUGCACCGCGCACGCGGCGCUACGACCGACGGGGCGACGGAUGGGGGUGGCUCGGCGGGGUUCUGGACGUCCCCGUGAUGGAGCGCGGCCCGCGGACCAGGGAAAUCCGGUCCGCAGAAGGGCGAGGCUCCGGACGAAGCACUUAAGCGAAGCGAGUGAGCCCGAGGUCCCUAGAAAAACCCCUAGGCAGGCGCGUGCGCGCCCGUACCGCAAACCGACACAGGUGGGUGGGUAGAACAUACCGAGGCGAUCGGGUCAACCAUGGUCAAGGAACUCGGCACAAUGGCCCCGUAACUUCGGGAGAAGGGGUGCCCGCGCGUACGUGAACGGACUUGCUCCGGGAGCGGAGGCGGGCCGCAGUGGAGAGGCCCAAGCGACUGUUUACCAAAAACACAGGACUCUGCAGAAGCCGCAAGGCGACGUAUAGGGUCUGACGCCUGCCCGGUGCCGGAAGGUCACGCGGAGGAGUUAGCCAUUUCGGCGAAGCCCCGAAGCCAAGCCCCGGUAAACGGCGGCCGUAACUAUAACGGUCCUAAGGUAGCGAAAUUCCUUGUCGGGUAAGUUCCGACCUGCACGAAAGGCGCAACGACUUGGGCGCUGUCUCGACCAUGGACCCGGUGAAAUUGCACUGGUCGUGAAGAUGCGACUUACCCGCGGAAGGACGGAGAGACCCCGUGAACCUUCACUGCAGCUUGGCAUUGGCCGCUGGUCCCGCGUGUAGAGGAUAGGCAGGAGGCUAAGAUCCGGAGGCGCCAGCCCCCGGGGAGCCGCCCUUGGAAUACUGCCCUCGCGCGACCGGCGUCCUAACCCGAGGCCGUCGACCGGCUCGGGGACCGUGCCAGGCGGGCAGUUUGACUGGGGCGGUCGCCUCCUAAAGGGUAACGGAGGCGCGCGAAGGUCCGCUCGGGACGGUCGGCAACCGUCCUUUUGAAUGCAAGAGUACAAGCGGGCUUGACUGCGAGGCCCACAAGCCGAGCAGGUGCGAAAGCAGGCUCUAGUGAUCCGGCGGCCCCGAGUGGGUGGGCCGUCGCUCAACGGAUAAAAGGUACUCCGGGGAUAACAGGCUGAUCUUGCCCAAGAGUCCACAUCGACGGCAAGGUUUGGCACCUCGAUGUCGGCUCAUCGCAUCCUGGGGCUGGAGCAGGUCCCAAGGGUUGGGCUGUUCGCCCAUUAAAGCGGUACGCGAGCUGGGUUCAGAACGUCGUGAGACAGUUCGGUCCCUAUCCUCCGUGGGCGCAGGAGAAUCGAUGGAGGCUGCCCCCAGUACGAGAGGACCGGGGUGGACGCACCUCCGGUGAACCGGUUGUCGACCAACGGCACGGCCGGGUAGCCGCGUGCGGCGCGGAUAACCGCUGAAGGCAUCUAAGCGGGAAGCCGUUCCAGGGAUUAGUUCU